UAAAAGAUAAACUAAAAGUGAAGUUAUUUGGUUCAUGCCCAAACUAUAGGAUUAAAAAUUCUUCUUUUUA
rnacentral:tRNA from 1 species